rnacentral:rRNA from 1 species
CGAAGGGGGCUAGCGUUGCUCGGAAUGACUGGGCGUAAAGGGCGCGUAGGCGGUUUGGUUUGUUAGGUGUGAAAUUCCUGGGCUUAACCUGGGGGCUGCACUUAAUACGGCCAGGCUUGAGUGUGAAAGAGGGUCGUGGAAUUCCCAGUGUAGAGGUGAAAUUCGUAGAUAUUGGGAAGAACACCGGUGGCGAAGGCGGCGACCUGGUUCAUUACUGACGCUGAGGCGCGAAAGCGUGGGGAGCAAACAGGAUUAGAUACCCUGGUAGUCCACGCUGUAAACGAUGUGUGCUGGAUGUUGGGUGACCUAGUCACUCAGUGUCGUAGCUAACGCGAUAAGCACACCGCCUGGGGAGUACGGCCGCAAGGUUG